rnacentral:rRNA from 1 species
GACGUAGGUUGCAAACGUUAUCCGGAAUUACUGGGCGUAAAGAGUUCGUAGGCGGUAUGUUAAGUAGAAUGUUAAAGCCCUGAGCUUAACUCAGGAUAGGUAUUCUAAACUGACAUGCUAGAGUAAUGCAGAGGCAAGUGGAAUUCUGUGUGUAGGGGUAAUAUCCGUAGAUAUACAGAGGAACACCAAAAGCGAAGGCAGCUUGCUGGGCAUUUACUGACGCUCAAGAACGAAAGCGUGGGGAGCAAACAGG